CCCGCCCCGCCUGUGUGCACACGCUCCGGUAAGCACACGCUCCUGUAAAGCUUCUCUUCCAGGAGGCUGCUGCUGGAACCCACCCUGCCAGGGAGAGGGAGCUCAUCGUCGUCGGGGACCGCUGUUAUGGACAGCUGUGACUGAGAUGGUCUCAGAGGCGGGCGGGUUGGAUUGGAGAGUUCGGAUGAGAGGGAAGCAGCAGGAGCGUCCCAGCACGGGAGCGUGGGGCUCUGUAAGGCAGGAGUCCAGUUGGAACUUGUGCACGAGAGAGGGGGCAUUAGGUCUACUGCUCUGCACUCAGGCUUUCCGUGCCCGAGGCUGUGAUGGUCUGGCUUCAGGGGAAGUUGGCGGAGUCGUCUCACCCACCGAGGAGCACAUGGGUCCUGGCUGGCACCACUGUUGACGGCAGGGUCCAGAUACUGGAUUUUUAAUUUUAGAAAAU